rnacentral:rRNA from 1 species
GAUGAACGCUGGCGGCGUGCCUAAUACAUGCAAGUCGAGCGAACGGACGAGAAGCUUGCUUCUCUGAUGUUAGCGGCGGACGGGUGAGUAACACGUGGAUAACCUACCUAUAAGACUGGGAUAACUUCGGGAAACCGUAGCUAAUACCGGAUAAUAUUUUGAACCGCAUGGUUCAAAAGUGAAAGACGGUCUUGCUGUCACUUAUAGAUGGAUCCGCGCUGCAUUAGCUAGUUGGUAAGGUAACGGCUUACCAAGGCAACGAUGCAUAGCCGACCUGAGAGGGUGAUCGGCCACACUGGAACUGAGACACGGUCCAGACUCCUACGGGAGGGAGCAGUAGGGAAUCUUCCGCAAUGGGCGAAAGCCUGACGGAGCAACGCCGCGUGAGUGAUGAAGGUCUUCGGAUCGUAAAACUCUGUUAUUAGGGAAGAACAUAUGUGUAAGUAACUGUGCACAUCUUGACGGUACCUAAUCAGAAAGCCACGGCUAACUACGUG